GGGCUCACACAAGCGGUGGAGGAUGUGGCUUAAUUCGAGGCUACGCGAAGAACCUUAUCCUAGGCUUGACAUGCACGGAUUAACCUCGUGAAAACGAGGCCACGCCCGCAAGGGUGGAACGUGCACAGGUGCUGCAUGGCUGUCGUCAGCUCGUGUCGUGAGAUGUCGGGUUAAGUCCCUUAACGAGCGAAACCCUUGUCACUAGUUGCCAGCGCGUCAUGGCGGGGACUCUAGUGAGACUGCCGGUGUUAAACCGGAGGAAGGCGGGGAUGACGUCAAGUCCUCAUGGCCUUUAUGCCUAGGGCUGCACACGUCCUACAAUGGUGCGUACAAAGGGAAGCAAACCUGCGAGGGUGAGCAAAUCCCAAAAAACGUACCCCAGUUCGGAUUGCAGGCUGAAACCCGUCUGCAUGAAGCCGGAAUCGCUAGUAAUCGCGGGUCAGAAUACCGCGGUGAAUGUGUUCCUGAGCCUU
rnacentral:rRNA from 1 species